GCCGAAAGCAGCUGCCCAACUGACUGAGCCACCCAGGUACCCAAGGACCCCUGAAUUUAACAGGAUCUCCAGACACAGGUAGAGAAAAAACAGCAUUGGCUGAAGAUGAAGGAGCAGCACUGAAAGUCACACUCGGACUCAGGUUUAGGCUGCCUUGAAUAUGCUGGCCCUGUGGCACCCACCGACCUGUGGAGAGAAAAGCAUCCCGUCCUACGGACCACCACCCACCCAGAGAGAGUGCAGAUGGGCUCUGUUGAGCCCUUUGUGAUACCUGCUCUUGGAACCAAGCCACCACGCUGUGAGGAAGUCCAAGCUACCCUGUGGAGAGGUGGGUGUGGAGAGAAGCAGCAUACAGUGACUCGACCAGGUAAGUGAGUCAUCUGGGAAGUGGCUCUUCCAGCCCCAACUGACGCCACUUGGGGCAGAGGUGAGCUGUCCCUGCUGAGCUACAUGAUUGCUGCCGGCUUAAGUCACUAAUUUUUGGAGUGGUUUGUUUGAAGAGAUAGAUAAUGGAGGCAUCCCCUGUCCCCCCACCAAACUGGGAGCCACAGGCUUAGGAGGCGGGAAACGGGCCCCUCUUUGUCCCUGGAGCUGGGACCUAGGUCAGCAUUGUUCCUUCAACAAGUAUUUGUUGCUUGACCACCAAGUGCUAUGCACUGUUCCAAGGGCCGAGGAGUUACUGAAUGAGACCCCAAGAAAGGGUGGUGGGGAGAACCGUCUUCCUGUGGGAGGUUAUUUCUAAGCUGAGACCCACCUAAGGAAGAGUUAGCCAUGCACAGAAGCAGAGAAAGGCCAGAUGCAACACCGUGUGCUAGUUCUGGAUGAGGUUAACAGAUUUGGCAAAUAAAAAAUAAAAAUUUGACACCCAAUUAAACUUGAAUUUUAGAUGAGUAAUGAAUACUUUUUUUGUGUGUAUACAUAUGCCCCAUACAGCUUGAGACAU